GAUGAACGCUGGCGGCGUGCCUAACACAUGCAAGUCGAACGGAGUGUUUAUUUAUAAACACUUAGUGGCGAACGGGUGAGUAACGCGCAGACAACCUACCCUCUAGAUGGGGACAACACCGCGAAAGUGGUGCUAAUACCGAAUGUUGUAAUGUUGUUGCAUAAUGAUAUUACUAAAGGUGGCCUCUAUAUAAAAGCUACCGCUAGAAGAUGGGUCUGCGUCUGAUUAGCUAGUUGGUGAGAUAACAGCUCACCAAGGCAAUGAUCAGUAGCCGGUCUGAGAGGAUGAACGGCCACACUGGGACUGAGACACGGCCCAGACUCCUACGGGAGGCAGCAGUGGGGAAUCUUCCGCAAUGGACGAAAGUCUGACGGAGCAACGCCGCGUGAGUGAAGAAGGUUUUCGGAUCGUAAAGCUCUGUCUUCAAGGACGAAUGUAGAUAUUGUGAAUAAUGAUAUUUAAUGACGGUACUUGAGGAGGAAGCCACGGCUAACUACGUGCCAGCAGCCGCGGUAA
rnacentral:rRNA from 1 species